rnacentral:rRNA from 1 species
CGGCGGCUUACUCAUGCAGUCGAGCGGGGGAGAUGUAGAUUGCUACUGGACCUAGCGGCGGACGGGUGAGUGAUGCUUAGGAAUCUGCCUAUUACUGGGGGACAACAUCUCUCCGGGGAUGCUAAUACCGCACACGUCCUACUGGAGAAAGCAGGGGACCUUCGGGCCUUGGGCUAUUAGAUUAGCCUUUAUCGAAUUACCUACUUGGUGGGGUAUAGGCCUACCAAGGCCACCAUCUGUAGGGGGUCUUACAGGAUGAUCCUCCACACUGGGACUGACACACUGCCCCUACUCCUACGGGAGGACUCCUAGGGGAAUAUUGGACAAUGGGGGGAACCCUGAUCCCGCCAUGCCGCCUGAGUGAAGAAGGCCUUUUGGUUGUAGCUUUCUUUAAGCGAAGAUGAGGCUACCGAGAUUAAUACUUUUGGAUAGUGUACGUUACUCCCUUAACAAGCCCCGGCCAACUCUGUGCCAGCAACCGCGGGCCUACAGACGGUGCAAUCGUUAAUCGGAUUUACUGGGCGUAAAUCGCGCGUAGGUGGCCAAUUAAGUCAAAUGUGAAAUCCCCGAUCUUAACUUGGGAAUUGCAUUCGAUACUGGUUGGCUAAAACUUGGGAGAGGAUGGUAGAAUUACGAGUGUAGAAUUGAAAUGCGUAGAGAUCUGGAGGAAUACCGAUGGCGAACGCCCCAUCUGGCCUAAUACUGACACUGAGGUGUGAAACUUGGGGAGCAAACAGGAUUAGAUACCCUGGUAACCAUGCCGUAAACGAUGUCUACUAACCAUGGGGCCUUUGGGCUAUAGUGUCCCACCUUACGCGAUAAAUAUACCGCCUGGGGACUCCGGCCGGAGACUACAACUCCAAUGAAUUAGACUGGGGCGCGCUCAAGCGGGGCAGCAUGUGGGGUGGAUUCGAUGCGACUCAUACAACCUUACGUGGUCAUGACAUCCUAGGAUCUUUCUCCACAUAGAUCGCUGCCUAUCGGGACUCUACAUACAGGAGCUGCAUGACUGUCGUCACCUCGUGUCGUGAGAUGCUGGGUUAAGUAUCGUCGAGCUAACGUCACCCCAUCUUACCUCAUUUGCCUGAGCGUU